AACGAACGCUGACGGCAGGCCUAACACAUGCAAGUCGAACGCUCCGCAAGGGGAGUGGCGCACGGGUGAGUAACACGUGGGAACCUACCUUCUGGUACGGAACAACCAAGGGAAACUUUGGCUAAGACCGUAUACGACCUCCGGGUGAAAGAUUGAUCGCCGGAAGAGGGGCCCGCGUCCGAUUAGGUAGUUGGUGAGGUAACGGCUCACCAAGCCUUCGAUCGGUAGCUGGUCUGAGAGGAUGACCAGCCACACUGGGACUGAGACACGGCCCAGACUCCUACGGGAGGCAGCAGUGGGGAAUAUUGGACAAUGGGCGCAAGCCUGAUCCAGCCAUGCCGCGUGAGUGAUGAAGGCCUUCGGUUG
rnacentral:rRNA from 1 species